rnacentral:rRNA from 1 species
GCGAAUAGGACCCAGGUCGAUCCGCGGGCGAGCUUGGUGGUGGGUGGUUGGUUCGUGGUCUGGAGCGGUCUAUUAGUCUCUCCUCAGAGCGGCGGCCGCUGCCGGCGGGCGUGUACGGCUAGAGACGGCCGUAGGCGCGCGGCGGCGUUCCCCGCCGGCACGUGCAGGGGCCCUCGGCCGAGGAGGCGCAGGGGCAAGGAGUUGACCGCCGCCCGCCGCAGGCCGCGUCCUCCGAGCCCCAGCACCACCGCCGCCGGAGGAGGCGCCGCAGUGGGCUGCUCGAGGUGCGCGCGCCCUCCGUAGAGGUGCCAAAGGGGCUCUUUAGAAAUGAAACCUUGAACUAUUUUCUACAUCUUGGAAACCUAGAUUCACAUCAGGUCUCUCUACAAGGAGGACUUUGACACCUACGUUACUUCUCCUGACAAAGCCCGUACAACCCAGAGGAAGGCAGACUAGUCAAGGCACAACAGCACCUCCGGGAAACCCUAGGGAAGAAGUUCAACCACUAUAGAAGUUAUUUCUGUCCCAUGUGAGACAGAUUACGACUUAUGUCCGAGAGGGAACUUUCUUAGGAUCUCAACAGACUACUACUUUGACUCACGUUCCUUUCUCUAUCGUGACUUAUAUCAGUGUCACUGGAGCCAAACCCUCCUAGAUAAAACUCUAAUAGUCUUCUGCUACUUCGCUGAUUACUUAGUCUUUUCUCCCUACUGUUAAAUAAUAGCCUUUUAUACCCACCUAAUCUAUCGAAUUUGCGAGUUCGUUUUCUUGUAUAAGAGGUUAACGUCAGAGCGAACCUAAGAUACCUUUCCCUCGAUGUACUUGAGUUCUUCUUUUUAAGAAGGAACGUUUACGUUGUCAAACGACCUCUUCUUUUUUUACUCAAUGAACUGAUGAACUCUAGUAAUAGUGGACUGUGCCAAUAGCUUGAGAGCCUUGGAAGGACGGGACCACACGUCCUUCGAUAAGUAAGGCACCAUGUACCAGAAGAUCGUUGAGAGAGGGGGUUUUACGUACGUUUCGGGGGAGGUGGUAGUCUCUUGUACCGACCACCUUGGGACUUAAAGCCCUUACCCCUACUACUGGCACGACUUGAGCACCUCCUACAUAGCGAGGGUAAAGUCGGGGAGUAUAGAUAAGGGGCCCUAGUAGAACGCGCAGAUAAUAAGACCACAUACGACGACCCGGUGAUGUAGGCUCCGGAGCUCGCGGCCAAUCUCGAAAGCGUCGAGGACCUUUACAGUUCACUGUGUUCCAACACUAAGGGUACCACUGUUACCGGUACGAAUCCGUAGUACUUCGAAACGGUCACCCAACAGUAGUGGGUUUUGUCUUUGCAAGACCAACAAGGGAUAGUAGACACUGGCACAUGUGUCCUUUCUCUUCCAGGCGCCUGGUCCCAUACACCAGAGGAUAAGCGACAGCGGUGUUUUCGAGCUUUACCGACUCAACGGACGCCUCAUCGCCCAUCAUGGACGCUUCAAUGGUCCCACAAAGACGACAGGACUCGGUUGCGCGUAAAAGUCUGAGACCAGACCUUUACUCUACAAAACCAUCGGACCUCCCCAAUACCGAAUACCCGUUGGUAAGAAACACCUUCACCAAGAAGA